rnacentral:rRNA from 1 species
AUUGAACGCUGGCGGCAGGCCUAACACAUGCAAGUCGAGCGAGCGGCGGACGGGUGAGUAAUGUCUGGGAAACUGCCCGAUGGAGGGGGAUAACUACUGGAAACGGUAGCUAAUACCGCAUACCAUCAGAUGUGCCCAGAUGGGAUUAGCUAGUAGGUGGGGUAAAGGCUCACCUAGGCAACGAUCCCUAGCUGGUCUGAGAGGAUGAACAGCCACACUGGAACUGAGACACGGGCCAGACUCCUACGGGAGGCAGCAGUGGGGAAUAUUGCACAAUGGGCGCAAGCCUGAUGCAGCCAUGCCGCGUGUAUGAAGAAGGCCUUCGGGUUGUAAAGUACUUUCAGCGGGGAGGCGUUACCCGCAGAAGAAGCACCGGCUAACUCCGUGCCAGCAGCCGCGGUAAUUC